ACGUCGACCGGCGAAUGGGUGAGUAACGCGUAUCCAACCUGGCCCCGAGUAGGGAACAGCCCGUCGAAAGCGGAUUAAUGCCCUAUGCCGUUCACAGCGGACAUCUAACGUGAACGAAAGAUUUCAUCGCUCGGGGAUGGGGAUGCGUCUGAUUAGGCAGUUGGCGGGGCAACGGCCCACCAAACCGACGAUCAGUAGGGGUUCUGAGAGGAAGGUCCCCCACAUUGGAACUGAGACACGGUCCAAACUCCUACGGGAGGCAGCAGUGAGGAAUAUUGGUCAAUGGGCGAGAGCCUGAACCAGCCAAGUAGCGUGCAGGACGACGGCCCUAUGGGUUGUAAACUGCUUUUACAGGGGAAUAAAGUGAGUCACGUGUGGUUCAUUGCAUGUACCCUGCGAAUAAGGACCGGCUAAUUCCGU
rnacentral:rRNA from 1 species